CCGUACAAUCCAACCAGCUGUCGAUUCUAACCGUUUGAUAUGGACCUGUGCGGGUCUCACACCCGUUAAGCCAACUAUCCACACUUCUCACGAAUAGUCGCGAACCCGCUCAGCCGCCUCCGCUCACCGCUCCGUCUGCCCCACAGCCGCCCGCCCUUCGCCUACCGCGUUGCCUCCACCUCCAUCCUCCGCUUGCAGCACUACCCGCCGAUGUCCUCCUGCCAAAGCAACGCACCGACAUCGUCUUUCCAUUCCCGAGGCUCUUCCCCUUGCGGCCUUGCCACAGCCCCCGCGUCAUCACCCACCGCCAUCGUCUCCAGCCACCUACCUCCUCUCUUCUCCACUCUCAGUCCCACCCCCUCUAUUUCGACGUGGGCAGCGCCAGAAAGUACCUAUUGGACCUCUUAUUAUGGGAUGUAAGAGUUGGAGUUCUAUGGCUCGUUGACGGUAUCUGUACAUACAUACUUUAUCACUCAGCCAUCCUGGUACUGUGAAAUGGGCAUCUAGACUUGGCCAAGACUGAGAGCAUCACAAUAACCUCGCUCAGUUUAUGUUCGUUAUGGGCUACAACACUGAAGCUGUUCAUUCGGUGAUUAUGAAUUCUAAUUCCCAUCUGAAAUGUUCCUUGCCAUUAUAUUUUUAAAAGAUUCCUUGCCAUUAUAUAUGUGCAUGUCAGCUAUACUGGUAUAAGAUGCUGUUACCUCGCAAUGUAUGGGAUCCUGUUAGUACUGUGAAAUGAUAUAUAUUAUUUUUCUUAGGAGAUAAAGACAA